CAAAAAGCGUUGAAGGAUAUCAGUAGAAGGUGGAACUUUCAUUUCCAGAGAGUCGGUGGGUGGUGCGAACCGAUAAUGAUCCCCUUUGAAUUACCGUCCUGAGCUGACUGGAGGAAAUUAGAGCUAUGCCAUUUAUAGCUGCUGGAGUAGUCCGGUUCCGGGAUGACGAUCCCGUUAUGGCAAUGAAGUGAAAGUCCGCUUCUUGGUAAGGCGGGCUUUAAUUAGGGUGGUAACGCGAGCGCUCCUUCUCGUCCCUUGU
rnacentral:ncRNA from 1 species